rnacentral:rRNA from 1 species
AUGUUGGGUUAAGUCCGUAACGAGCGCAACCCUUGUCUUAGUUACCAGCACGUUAUGGUGGGCACUCUAAGGAGACUGCCGGUGACAAACCGGAGGAAGGUGGGGAGUGACGUCAAGUCAUCAUGGCCCUUACGGCCUGGGCUACACACGUGCUACAAUGGUCGGUACAAAGGGUUGCCAAGCCGCGAGGUGGAGCUAAUCCCAUAAAACCGAUCGUAGUCCGGAUCGCAGUCUGCAACUCGACUGCGUGAAGUCGGAAUCGCUAGUAAUCGUGAAUCAGAAUGUCACGGUGAAUACGUUCCCGGGCCUU